rnacentral:sRNA from 1 species
GCCGCUCCGCGAGGUGAGCCAUUGGCCGGGGUGUCGGCGAGUGUGUUGGUGGGGCGCGUCCUGGGGACGACUCCCGGCAUGAUCGGCCAGGUUGAGUCCGCUCCUGGCAUUCCGCGGAAAGAUGGUAUUCCCACUUUCCUGUGCGGUGCAGCAGUAUGCCUGGGGGAAGAUGGGUUCCAACAGCGAAGUGGCGCGGCUGUUGGCCAGCAGUGAUCCACUGGCCCAGAUCGCAGAGGACAAGCCCUAUGCAGAGUUGUGGAUGGGGACUCACCCCCGAGGGGAUGCCAAGAUCCUUGACAACCGCAUCUCACAGAAGACCCUAAGCCAGUGGAUUGCUGAGAACCAGGACAGCUUGGGCUCAAAGGUCAAGGACACCUUUAAUGGCAACCUGCCCUUCCUCUUCAAAGUGCUCUCAGUUGAAACACCCCUGUCCAUCCAGGCACACCCUAACAAGGAGCUGGCAGAGAAGCUGCACCUCCAGGCUCCGCAGCACUACCCCGAUGCCAACCACAAGCCAGAGAUGGCCAUUGCCCUCACCCCCUUCCAGGGCUUGUGUGGCUUCCGGCCAGUUGAGGAGAUUGUAACCUUUCUAAAGAGUAAGUUGGACAGAAUGCUGAAGGCAUGAGUAUUGGGCCAGGGAUACCUGGGGAACCAAGAUGAUAGGAACAGUGGCUGAAAACGGGUCACAUGUCACAGGAACUGAAGGGCCUCAUGAAGCAGUUUUUGGAGCCAGUGAGCCAGGCCAGUGAGACCAGGCUCAGGUGUGGUUGUCAAGGGCUGGUGGUGAGUGAUUGGUUUCCACUGCAAAGUUUACUUAGCAUUGCCGGCUCUUUGGUUAGGGCUGGGAUGGAAAGGUGUCCUCCAACUCCCCACUUGUGUGGG